rnacentral:rRNA from 1 species
AUCUUCUUCGGAAGAUGAGUGGCGAACGGGUGAGUAAUACAUAGGUAACCUGCCCCUGUGCGGGGGAUAACAGGAGGAAACUCCUGCUAAUACCGCAUAGCCAUGAGCACCGCAUGGAGCUCAUGCCAAAUAUCCUUUCGGGGAUAGCGCAGGGAUGGACCUAUGGCGCAUUAGCUGGUUGGCGGGGCAACGGCCCACCAAGGCAACGAUGCGUAGCCGGCCUGAGAGGGCGGACGGCCACAUUGGGACUGAGACACGGCCCAGACUCCUACGGGAGGCAGCAGUAGGGAAUUUUCGGCAAUGGGGGAAACCCUGACCGAGCAACGCCGCGUGAGCGAAGAAGGCCUUCGGGUCGUAAAGCUCUGUUGUAAAGGAAGAACGGCGCAUACAGGAAAUGGUAUGCGAGUGACGGUACUUUACCAGAAAGCCACGGCUAACUACGUGCCAGCAGCCGCGGUAAUACGUAGGUGGCGAGCGUUAUCCGGAAUCAUUGGGCGUAAAGAGGGAGCAGGCGGCCGCAAGGGUCUGUGGUGAAAGCCCGAAGCUAAACUUCGGUAAGCCAUGGAAACCGGGCGGCUAGAGUGCGGAAGAGGAUCGUGGAAUUCCAUGUGUAGCGGUGAAAUGCGUAGAUAUAUGGAGGAACACCAGUGGCGAAGGCGACGGUCUGGGCCGCAACUGACGCUCAUUCCCGAAAGCGUGGGGAGCAAAUAGGAUUAGAUACCCUAG